rnacentral:lncRNA from 10 species
CCCCGAACUGCCCCCUCCCCGCCGCGCACGGGGCGCUCGGGUUCCCGGAGAUAAGGCUGCUCCCCUCCGUCACUACAGGCUCUGCCGGCCCUGCUGGGCCUGUCUCCCUGCCUUUGUCUCUCUUUCCCUCCCUGUCUCACAACCAGUAAGAUCCAGAGCAACCCGGGUGAAGGACGAGUUUAGACUCCAGGUUCUAGCCCUGCGCAUCCUCUGCUCCUUCACCCAGUUGUGAGAUAAGCUGUAGGAGCAGUGCUCAGUAAACGCCGGCUGUUGUUGUUCAUAACAAUAGUAGCCACGUGGAAGCGAGCAGAGCACCCCUCCAUAUUCUAGUCACUUGGUCUCGUACACCAGUGAUUCCCGAAGUGUGGUCUCCGGACCAGCAGCAUCAACGUCAUCUGGGAACUUGUCAGAAAAUGCAAAUCCUCAGGUCCCACUCAGCCCUGCUAAAUCGGAAGCUCUGAAGCACAGAGGUCAUGGCUGGAGAUGCAGCAGCUGUUUUGAGGGCCACCUCAAAGGAAAGGCCAGGAGAAUUGCAGAGACUUCAGCUGUCACAUGCUAGAACUGCUGCACCUGACAUGGGAUGCCUUCCUGGGGACUUCUUACUACCUGAAAAAAAGUAAACACCUAAUUUAUAAGAGCCACUGCUUUUAGGGAUUCUGUUAUUUGUAGGCAAGCAGAAUUUCUUGUUGAUUUAACAUCUAGAAUGAAUGGAAUCUAGAACAGAUGCUCCUAACCUAGAGUUCACUCAUUUUCCAUGUUGCUUCAGAGGUCCUAAGAUCCCCUGUGGUUGGUAGACUAAUAGUCCCCCUCCUAAUCCCUGGAACCUGUGAAUAUGUCACCUUAUAUGGCAAAAAAGGACUGAAAAUGUGAUUAAGGUUAAGGGUCUUGAGAUGGAAAGAUUUUCCAGGAUUAUCUGGCUGGGCACAGUCUAAUUAUGUGAAUCCUUAAAAGCAGAGAACCUUUCCUUGGCUGUAGCACGAGAAAGAGAUGUGAAGUGGAAGUGGGGUCAGAGAGAUGCCACAUUGUUGGCUUUGGAGAUAAAAGAAGGGACCCAUGAGCCAAGUAAUACAGGCAGCUUCUAGAAGAUGGAAGAGACAAUAAAAUGGAUUAUCUCCUAGAGCCUCCAGAAAGGCAACACCUUGAGUUUAAUCCAGUGAGACUCCUGUCCCACUUCUGACAUCCAGAACUGUAAGAUAAUAAAUGUUGUUGUUUUAAGCCGCUAUGCUUGUGACCAUUUGUUAUAGCAGAAGCAGGAAACUAAUAUAGCCCUCUAGAAUUAUAUAUAAAAGUGUGUAUGUGUGUGUUUGUGUGUUUCUUAGGGAAAGAUCCACAGAUUUCAACAGAUUCUUUAAAGGUA